CACGGCCCAAACUCCUACGGGAGGCAGCAGUGGGGAAUAUUGCACAAUGGGGGAAACCCUGAUGCAGCGACGCCGCGUGAGCGAAGAAGUAUUUCGGUAUGUAAAGCUCUAUCAGCAGGGAAGAAGAAUGACGGUACCUGAGGAAUAAGCAUCGGCUAACUCCGUGCCAGCAGCCGCGGUAAUACGGAGGAUGUAAGCGUUAUCCGGAAUGAUUGGGCGUAAAGGGUCCGCAGGUGGAACUGAAAGUCUGCUGUUAAAGAAUCUGGCUCAACCAGAUAAAAGCAGUGGAAACUACAGAACUAGAGUACGUUCGGGGCAGAAGGAAUUCCUAGUGUAGCGGUGAAAUGCGUAGAUAUUAGGAAGAACACCGGUGGCGAAAGCGUUCUGCUAGGCCGUAACUGACACUGAGGGACGAAAGCUAGGGGAGCGAAUGGGAUUAGAUACCCCAGUAGUCCUAGCUGUAAACGAUGGAUACUAGGCGUGGCUUGUAUCGACCCGAGCCGUGCCGUAGCUAACGCGUUAAGUAUCCCGCCUGGGGAGUACGCACGCAAGUGUGAAACUCAAAGGAAUUGACGGGGGCCCGCACAAGCGGUGGAGUAUGUGGUUUAAUUCGAUGCAACGCGAAGAACCUUACCAAGGCUUGACAUCCUGCGAAUCUUUCUGAAAGGAGAGAGUGCCUUCGGGAGCGCAGAGACAGGUGGUGCAUGGCUGUCGUCAGCUCGUGUCGUGAGAUGUUGGGUUAAGUCCCGCAACGAGCGCAACCCUCGUUUUUAGUUGCCAGCAUUAAGUUGGGCACUCUAGAGAGACUGCCGGUGACAAACCGGAGGAAGGUGAGGAUGACGUCAAGUCAGCAUGCCCCUUACGCCUUGGGCUACACACGUACUACAAUGCUACGGACAAAGGGCAGCUACACAGCGAUGUGAUGCAAAUCUCAUAAACCGUAGCUCAGUUCAGAUCGAAGGCUGCAACUCGCCUUCGUGAAGGAGGAAUCGCUAGUAAUUGCAGGUCAGCAUACUGCAGUGAAUUCGUUCCCGGGCCUUGUACACACCGCCCGUCACACCAUGGAAGUUGGUCACGCCCGAAGUCAUUACCCCAACCGAAAGGAGGGGGAUGCCGAAGGUAGGACUGGUGACUGGGGUGAAGUCGUAACAAGGUAACCGUACUAGUACGA
rnacentral:rRNA from 1 species